rnacentral:rRNA from 1 species
GACGAACGCUGGCGGCGUGCUUAACACAUGCAAGUCGAACGCUGAAGCUCAGCUUUUGUUGGGCGGAUGAGUGGCGAACGGGUGAGUAACACGUGAGUAACCUGCCUCCUUCUUUGGGAUAACGCCCGGAAACGGGUGCUAAUACUGGAUAUUCACUGGUCUUCGCUUGGGGGUUGGCGGACAGGGAUUUUCUGGUGGGGGAUGGGCUCGCGGCCUAUCAGCUUGUUGGUGGGGUGAUGGCCUACCCAGGCUUUGACGGGUAGGCGGCCUGAGAGGGUGACCGGUCACAUUGUGACGGGUGUACGGCCCAGAGUUCUACGGGAGGCAGCCGUGAGGCCUAGUGCACAGUGGGCGCAAGACUGAUCCAGCGACGCCGCGUGAGGGAUCGAGACCAUCGGGUUGUGAACCUCUUGGGCUCAUGGUCAAGCAGCGCCCAUGGUUGUAAUGAGGGUGGCGGGUAGAGAAGCCCCGGCUAACUACGUG